rnacentral:snoRNA from 1 species
CUGGAGGGUGAUGAGCUGCACCGCUAUGGGCUCAUGGUGCUGUGUACCAAUGGGUCCCACUGAAUCAGUGAUGCCAAGACUAUGUGCACAGGGGCCAGCUGACUCCAU